AGUUUGAUCCUGGCUCAGAACGAACGCUGGCGGCAGGCUUAACACAUGCAAGUCGAACGCAUCGCAAGAUGAGUGGCAGACGGGUGAGUAACGCGUGGGAACAUACCCUUUUCUACGGAAUAGCUCUGGGAAACUGGAAUUAAUACCGUAUACGCCCUACGGGGGAAAGAUUUAUCGGGGAAGGAUUGGCCCGCGUUGGAUUAGCUAGUUGGUGAGGUAAUGGCUCACCAAGGCGACGAUCCGUAACUGGUCUGAGAGGAUGAUCAGUCACACUGGAACUGAGACACGGUCCAGACUCCUACGGGAGGCAGCAGUGGGGAAUAUUGGACAAUGGGCGAAAGCCUGAUCCAGCCAUGCCGCGUGUGUGAAGAAGGUCUUCGGAUUGUAAAGCACUUUAAGUUGGGAGGAAGGGUUGUAGAUUAAUACUCUGCAAUUUUGACGUUACCGACAGAAUAAGCACCGGCUAACUCUGUGCCAGCAGCCGCGGUAA
rnacentral:rRNA from 1 species